UAUUAGGUUUGACCGCUAAAAGGAAUGUUGGUCACUCCAUUUUGAACCAAGUCUUCAGCCUUCACUCUUCACAAAAGCCAUUUCCCUGUCCCUCCGCUUCCGGCGAAAAGUCAUGGAAAUUGACCCAAAAAAAAAAUCAAAAACAAAUUCCAUAUAUUCUCUUUCCUUUUCUUUUCCCCUAUUUUCUGUCAUCCAUCGGACCGCCAACUCCUCAGAAACUAACCACUAAUCGCAUAUAAGUAGCUGCUAUGGAGCUUGACGAGUUCUCGAGUUAAGCUGUUUACAGUUAAUUAAUUCGUGGUGAUUUUUGCUCAACAGGUUAGAGCAGAUUUCUUUUAUCUUAAGACUUUGAGAUCACAAGAACGAGAAAUAGCUUUCCCACAUUUAAAAAUUUUGCAUAUGGAUUAGUUGCUUAUUUAAUUUAGAUUGAAAAAAAGGAGCUGGGGCAUUCCGAGAAUCGAACUCGGGACCUCUCGCACCCAAAGCGAGAAUCAUACCACUAGACCAAAUGCCCGAUUUUGUUGUCUAUAAUGUUUUCUUAGUAUUAUAACAUCUAUAGGUGGCAAAUUUUCAAAAAAUACUGCGUACUUUUUUUUUUUUGAUGAAGUCUCUGAUCAACUAGAUUGUUUGUGAGUUUUUUGUUAUUGGAAUACAUAGUAAGGUGCUUCAGAAUUGUUCAUAAAUGAGCGUACAGGACAAUUAGCAGUUAUGCAGGAAAUGUUCACAAAUUGAAUUGUCCUAGUAACCUUUUAUCUGCAAGGCUCUGAAGGAUGAAUACUAAAGUGUUCUACUCGCAUAGGAUUAAGGCAGAUUUCCAUUUUCUGAUGACUGUGAUUCCAGGUAUGAGUUUAGCUUGCGCACAUGCAAAGAUAGUACAGACAGCCUAAAUUCUUUAUUUAUUUUGCCACAUGUUUCUGGGGAAUUUUUUUUGAAAACAGAUCAAUCAGAGUCCAUAAAGUUCUGUAUGAUGCUCUUAAAGUUGACUUCAGAAUAGAUUCAUCUAUUCAAAUAUUUUACAAUAUAGGGAACCAAAAUGAAAAAAGCAAGGCAUUGGGGCAUUCCGAGAAUCGAACUCGAGACCUCUCACACCCAAAGCAAGAAUCAUACAACUAGACCAAAUGCCCUAUUUUUUAUGUGUAGAAUGUCUGGUUUAUUAUUAUCAGAUAUUUUUCUCCAAGAACUUCUGUUAAUUUUCAAUGGGCUCAUAUUGGAUCAAGAAAAAGAAAUAAUACAUAGAUAGAGAAGAUGGAAGCACACUCAGGGAGGAGGGAAAUGCUUGGCCUUUUUUGUUCUCCUAUUUUUGGUUCACUAUAGCUAUUUGAAGUAAGGCAUAUAUAUAUUCUGUUUAUUUGGCGCCCUUUGUUAUGCAGGUUUAAAGCGGAUUUCCAAUUUUUGGAUGAGUAUAAGAUUAAAAGUACAAGAAUGAACUUUUGAAAACAGCACAAUUUAUUAAUUUUUUUACUCACUGCAAAGCAAUUUUGUCAGAAAACACAUGGAUCUGAAGUUACUAUUUUACUUUAAAGUUGACUUAACAGCAGAUUCUCUGAUCAUAUAUUUAAAUUUAAGGGAACCAAAAAAAGAAACAGGGUUUGGGGGCAUUCCGAGAAUUGAACUCGGGACCUCUCGCACCCUAAGCGAGAAUCAUACCACUAGACCAUAUGUCCAAUUUUGAUUUCAUGUUUAUUUACUAACAGUUUUCUAAGGGUUCCUAUUAACUUUCAAUGGCUAAUACCAAGUGAGCUGCACAUAAUUUCUUCUGUCCUGCUUUUGAUUCUCUUCUGGUAUCAUUUCCUUGCUAGAGUGAUUGUAGUCCCUUGCUUUUGAUUUAAUUCUGUUAUAAUUUUCGUUUUAGGGUCUGAUACCACCCACUGCCUCUUAAUUGCAUUUGGACCUUGGAGUUGAUUUGAAUCUUUUUGUCUAAGCAUAGUAAUGAGGUUAGUUUAUAUGGAUUAUGAAUUUCAAGUACUUAUUUGUAUUUUUCUUUCUUUAUUGGUUAAAUGCUUCUCUAAAUAGCAUAGAUAGCUAGUGAGUUCCGUCACGAACUUACAAUAAAUAGCAUAUUAACUUUCAAUGGGCUAAUACCAAGUGAGCUCCCUGUAGUUUCUUCUCUCUUGCUUUUCAUGUGCUUCUAGUAUUAUUUUAACUUGUUACAUUGAUUCUAGAAUCAGGCUUUUGAGUUAAUUAUGUUAUAAUUUCCCUUUUAGAGUCUUGAUGCCACCCAGUUCCUCUUAAAAUUGUAUAUGGACCUUGGAUUUGGUUUGAAUCUUUUUGUCUAAGCAUAGUAAUGAUGCUCUUCUAACUUCAGAUUUGAGUCAGGCAAUGGAGAACAUUUAUGGAUUAUGAAUUUUGAGAAUUUAAUUGUAUUUUUUUCUUUAUUUAUUGAAUGGUUGAGCUUGACUAAUAGCUAGUGAUCUUUGUCACAAAUUUACAGUGCAUAGCAUAAGCAUGGUACUAUAAAGUGGUAUAAAGAUAUGCAGAAAGUUCAACACAAAAAGCUGUUUUGUUUGUGGACCCUGCAGGCCAAAUGCGAGAGAGAAAAACGAACGGUUUGACAGCUCCCUGUUUUACUUGCAUAUGUUAUGGCAGAUCUCUUAUCUUUAGUGAUGCUACGAGGGUUACAGGUCAGCGUUUUUUAAUAUACAUUUAGCAACUCAUCGCUGACUGAUGUCAGAAAACAGAUCAAGAUGAAGUCGAUAAAUGUUUAUAGUAAUAAACUUCCAAGGUUGACUUCUGGCUAGACUCUUUUGAUCGAUAUUCAAAUUGCAAGGUAGAACUAAAAAGAAAGAAGGGGUUGGGGGAGCAUUCCGAGAAUUGAAAUCAGGACCUCUUGCACCCAAAGCGAGAAUCAUACCACUAGACGCAAUGCCCUUCUAUGUUGUCUUCAAAUUUUUCUAAACACUCCAAUCCUAUAAUUUCAUAAAGAGAAUUUAUGUGGUUUAUUUUCCAAACUUUAGCCAUCUAAAG